AAUUUGUGUGCAGUGGUGGGGGAUGGGUAGUAGACAGACAUGCCCCAAGAUGAGAACCACUGAUUUUGGAAGGAGCUCACGUCACUACAAAUUGUCUAAGCCUUAGUUUCCACAAAACCUGGAUCUUCCCUGACAUCAUCGUUUAUUAUUCAUGGUGGUGGCUGAUAAGAGGAGAGAUAAUGGCCAGGGACAGAUGACUUCAGCUGUCACUCCACAGUCUCCUACACCACAGACAGCAAAGAAAGACCACGAGGGUGAGCCUGCAAAUCCCUGACUCAAGACGACUUGGGUGAGAUGUCACACUGCAAACAGAGGUUCCACAGCAGACGAGCAGACAAGAUGAACAGAAAAGCAGCAGAGUGGUGCGGCAGAAAAGGAGGGAAGAGAAGGAGCAUCUGAACAUCAAGAGGAGUUUGGCUGGGGACAGUUGGAGAGUAGAUCAGCCACACAAUAGCAAACUCCAGGGGAAGAUCAUCUUCCCACUCCAUCCCCUUUCCAGCUCCCCAUCCAUUCUGCUGACAGCCACCUCCACCACUCAAUAAAACCCCCACAUUCACUGUCCUUCAA